AGAAGGGCUUUUGCAAAUCAAGGACAUUUUGAUUGACAACAGUAUUGGAUACAAGGAAGCUAGACACCAAGAACGCCUGGUGCAAAAGAAGCUUUCCAAAACAUUGGGACACUCAUCUCGCUGCUUAUUCACGCUAUUAUUAUAUUACCUCUUUGGAAGAGUCUCAGAUAUUGAAGUAGACAUGGCUGGUGGAGUUUACAAGAGUGGAAGCGACAACAAGAACUGGUUGUGUCUGGGAAGAAUUUUGACUUCAGAUAGUGAGAAGAUGAUUGGGCGCGGUGUGAAGCAGUUGGAUAAAGCACCUAGCCUUUUCAAGUUUGUAUGGGAAACUGCUGAAAUGAAAGAUGAUUUGGAUCUUGAAGGCCAUUUGUGGUGUGUUGGAGAACACAACAGGAUGCUUAGGUACAGAGGAAACACAUACUUUCUUCAUGGGAUUUGUCUCUAAUCUUGGAAACUCAUGCAGUUGUUUUCAUGUGAAUUUGAUAGUUAAGAACUGUUAAAUAACAAUUUAGUCACACACAUCAAAUUAUCUAACGAUUCUUAACUAUUAAUGUCGCGUGAAGACAACUGUAUAUGAGUAUCUUUACAAAAUUAUUCAACCUCUAUUCUAUGAUUUUUAUUCUUUCCAUAGCUUUUGUUGUCACAAACAAAUAUUCAAUUGCAAAUUAUCUUGUGUAUGUGCCCAUUUUCGUAUGAAUUUAGUUUAUUAGAUUUUGAAACAGUAUCUAAAUGAAGAAUGGAGGAUGCUGAUGUAGGAUACAAAUGUGCCUUCCAUAAAUUCUAUGUACCUUAACUCUCCUUUUUGACAUAUUACAAGGUGUCAAAUGGCCAAACUUUGAGAUCAUCAACACACUGAAUGCAUAUAAUUAACCACACAAAACAAAAUUGCAUAUCGUUUCAUAUUUAGGGUGGGAAAGGUACACAACAAAAUUUCAUGAUGUGUAGUUUGAUAACGAUCCUAUCCUUUAGGUAAGGCAUAAAUAAGAGUUUUGUCCUAUUUUUUUAUGUUCUGAGAGUAAAUAAAUACUCUUGUUUUAUGUUAUUCAUUUUUUUUCUCAAUAAUGUGGCCCAAUUUUUUAUUAGUUUUUAUUUUGUUAAUUUUUAAAAUUUUAAAAUUAAAAAGUAAAACCUUAUAAAUUAUAAUAUUAACUUAAAAGAUAAUUAAUGGACUACAUUAUUCUCCUAACAAUUAAGAAUUCCUAUUUUUGGCUCCAUAAAAAUAUACAUUUAUAGUAUUUAAUUAUUAGCAUGAAUUCUUUUACAUAUUUUGGUGGCGAAUUCUUUUAUUAGCCGCAAAGUUUCUUCGGUAAAUGCUCUUUCCUCAGAUUUGUAAUCUUAACCAUUUAAGCAUAGCUUUAUUUCAUUCUGUUUGUAGAUCCUUUUUCUAUCCUUUUUUUUAAAGUUUAUUUUCUAAAAAUUUCGGAUGAAAAUUUUACAUAGGAUUCGAGUAAACACUUAAACUACCGUCUACAUGCCACAACAUUUUGAGUAUCAAGUUCUUUUUGUCGUAUUUUUAAAUUUUUUACGGAUUUAUUUAUCGUUAGUAUUUUUUAAAAUUUGUUUUAUUAGCGAUACAAAUUUUCAAGUAAUAUUUUGAUAGUUUAUUUUUUUAAGGAUGAACUAAUUUAAUGCUCAGUAGGCUUUUAUAUAUCAAUAACAAAAUUGAUUUCAUAUUUAUAAACUACAUCUUUUAUAAAUAAAAAAUGUAAUUCUUUUAUGUUUGUUUGAGUAUUAUUAAGUUGAUAAAAAAUAUUUUUUUUAUUUUUUAGCGUAUUUGGUAAAUUUUUAUUAGUAAAAAAUUAAAAAUAAAAAUAGUAAAAAAUAAAAAAUAAAAAAUAUUUUUUAAAAAAAUUACAAUUUAUAUUUUUUUAAAAANACCACUUAAAACGGACUUCUCUGUCAGUCUCUUCUUUCACCGUCUAAAGUGAAAGUAUAAGAUACUAAAACCAAAACUUUAAACCGAGAAGAGAGGUCUCUUCUAUCACCGUCUAAAGCCGUUUAAAGUGAGAGUAUAAGAUACUAAAACCAAAACUUUAAACCCAGAAGAGAGGUCUCUUCUAUCACCGUCUAAAGUGAGAGUAUAAAACACUGAAACCAAAACCUUAAGCCCAGAAAUUCGCUCAUUUAUUUCGCAUCAUCUAUCACAAAGCAAAAAAAAUACCGCACUUCUACACCUUUCAAAUCACCACAAACACACUCUAUUGGAGAAGGUAAGUUUAUUUUUUAAUAUUCCCCUUUCUUUUUCUGUUAUUGGAACAACGAGCUUUUCUUUAGUCUAGAAACUAGUGAGGUUACUGUUUAGGAGAUAGGAAGAAAAAUUGAAAUUCAUUUUUUAGUGACAAAGGAGAUAGAGUCUACACUUUAUUUGUUUAUAUUGGUUUAAUAAUGGUAUUUUUCUAGAGUUUGGGAUAUUAAUUUGAUAAAUGUAGUAAAGUUUGAUUUGGAGUACAGAAAUUAAAAAAUUUAAAUUCUAGGAGUACAGACAUUUCUAAAGCACAAAAAUUGGAUCCUUUAAUUUUUAAAAUCGUAAAAGAUUUGAGAUACUCCGAUUUCUAUAUUUUUUACCAUUUUAAAAAAUACUAAAAAUUACAAUGUUAGAGUACAUGUACAUCAAUCAUCAUACUUCCAUAGAGAAAAACAAUUAGUCCCUUGUGUUUUCUUUCUUAUGUCGUAACUCCAUCUCAAAAAUUAUUACACUUCACAUAAGAAGAAGAAGAAAUUAGUGAUAGAGAUCUACAUAGGUUCCACAUUGAUCUUUAUAUUAUUAUUAUUAUUAUAGUAUUUAUGAGUUUUAAUGGGACAUUUUGGGUCAUGAUGAAAAUUUGAUGAACAGUUUAUGAAUUUUACAAUGAAAAAUCUCAUCAGUGUACUUAGUUGAAAGUCAUUCAUAAUCAUACAUCUCUAGCUUCCCAGAUGAAUCAUUUUGAUAAUAAACAUGUAAUACAUGUGAUUUUUUUUUUAUUUCUUUCUUUCUUGGCAUUGUAUAAGUUACAAUUAUCCAUCCAUGAUAUUAUACUUGCUAUCAGUACUGAAGCUGGGGAAAAAUGGACCAAAUAUCUGGUUUGCCAGAAGCUAUACUUCAUGACAUUCUCGCAAGACUUCCGGACAGAGAUUCUGCCAGGACUAGUGUUUUAUCAAAGGCUUGGAGAGAAGCAUGGUCUACGUUUCCAAUAUUGUCUAUUUGCAGCGAUCAACAUUUUAAGAGUCAAGAUGUAACGGUAGACAAUUAUCAUAGCAAAAUAGACAAAGUUGUUGACUAUGUUGGGAGAAGAUUACUGAGGCUCGGCGACCUAGGCUUAGCAAUCAAAGAAUUCAAGCUCAUCAUGGACUAUGUAGACCAUAAGUGCAUGGCCCACCAUGUUGAUCUAUGGAUGAAGAUGGCUCUUGAAAGUGGUGGCGAAGUAUUACAUUUACAGCUUCGCCUCCCUAGUCGCUAUGUAAGGAGACACAGUCCGGACAGGUUUUAUGACCUUCCACUCAGUGUCAUUGAAUCCAAAUCACUUACUAAGUUGGUGUUGAUGGACCGAAUCAGAGUUGACCAAGCAUUCCUCACCCAUUCCAUCAAGCUUUACUCAGUGAGAAUAAUAAAACUAUGCAAUAUAUUUUUUGCACAUGAAGGGAUUAUAGAUCAUGUCAUUUCUCAUUGUCCUCUAAUUGAAGAUUUAACCGUGAUUGAUUGUGCUGUCUAUAACCCUCCAAUCAGAGGAACUCCUCAAGUGUAUGAGUUCAGUCUUGUGGAAUCACUAUUCUUGCAUGGUUUACAUAAGCUCAAGAAAGUUUAUGUUCAAGGAAUGCGGGAAGUAUAUAUUGAUGCUCCAAAUCUUGAGAGCUUACAUUGUUGUCUUCAGUAUCAAAAUACAUCUUUCAAGCUGAAUUUAGAUAGUUGCACAAAUUUGAGAUGGCUGUGCUUAUGGAAUUUGAAGAACAUUGCUAUCGGAGACAAAUGGUUUCUUGAACUAUUUUCUAAAUUUCCUUUCCUUGAGAGUUUGGAACUAGACAAUUGCUCGAUGUCUCAGAGGAUUAAUAUUUCAAGUGCUCAACUCAAGGUCUUGAAGUUAUCAUACUGCUCUAACUUGGAGGAGCUUAACAUUGAUGCUCGAAAUUUAUUAUCAUUUGCGUAUGAGGGAAACAACCAACCUGGUAUAUCUUUUCAGAAAUGUUCUAAUCAAUUGGAAGUCAAUAGUUUUAGCGAUGUGGAUUUUCGGGACCUUUGUAGCUUGAGGAAAUUUGUCCAAAACAUUAAACCCCAAAAGAUUUGGGCAUCAGUCUCCCUCUUUAUCUGUCUGUCAAUUCUAGUAAGUAUAUACACUUGCUACAUUGGUUCAUUCUGCUUUACAUAUUUGCCUAUUUUAUUUAUUUGUUUGUUUGUCUGAAUUCUGUAGACUGAACCAGAGCAGGGUGCAUUCCAAGUUUCAUCUAUUCCUCCAACUAUUAAACGCUUGGAAUUACUUUUUUCUCCGGACUACGAAGCUCUCUAUUUCCCUUUUAUGAAUUACUUGCUUUCAAGUUGCUGCCCGAACUCUAUUUCAUUUAGUUUUCGCUCUUAUGUUCAUGGUAAAGCAUUCAUUCAGGUAUGUCAUUAUCCUCAAAUUUUCUGAGUCUUGCAUUGAGUCUUGCAUUUACAACGACAACAGUACUUUCAUCCCAGCUGUGACUGCAUUUGUGUUUAUAUACUUUAUCAUCAAUAUGAUCUUUCUAACGCCGUUUGUUAUUUUGCAAAAAACAACAGUUUUUGUAUGAGACACUGAUGGGAAGAAAGGAAGGGAAGUGCCACUGCAGUUCAAGUAAUACAAAAUGUUGGUGGCAUGCCUUGAAGAUUGUCAAGGUUAUUUGUACCUUCAAGAUUGAUGAGAACGCUGAUUUUAAGACAAUGUUAGAUGCAUUGCCAACAUGUCAUGCUGAUGAAAAAAUUGGUUUUAUCUUAGAAUUGUAAUCUUUCUAUUAUCAACUCAUAGAUAUUCCUUAUUUGGUUUAGUAAUUUAGUAUGUACUUAAGUAAGUGCUUACAUGUAUAAUUGUAUAUAUCAAUGUUCUAUAACAUUUUCUCUCUUUAUAAGGUAACGAUAAAUGUGAAUGUUCAUGUUUAGAAUUUUAUCUUUUUGCGAAAAAAAUAAAGCGAUUGAUUUAUAUUCACUAUUACGUCAAAGCAUAUAAUAUAAAGUUAAAAACUAAUCCUGUAGAAGUAAAUGUAAAAGUGUGUUUGAAAUGUCAUAUUAUUAUUAAAAUAUACUUGUAUUCCUUUUACAGAAAAAAUAAUAUGUAGUUCACAAAAGAAAAAGGUUUGCAUAAAUUUAGUAUUACAUGAAAACAUAAAAUAAAAGCAUAACAUAAAUGAUACUGAUUACUGAGACCAACUUAAGUCCGUGAUAAUUUUGAAGUAAUUGAUAAUUAACUGGUUAAAAUGAGCGUUAAAAACUUAAAAUAUUUAUGAAUUGAGGUGAUAUAAGUUGGUUCAUUUGGUCGACCUUCUGGUUGUAUACCUGUAUAUUGUUAUUGUUCACAUUUCAAUUAUAGAUUUAUAACUUUUAAGGUAAAUAACAUUAAUAAAUAAAGUGGGAUUCAAUAUUAUAUGAAAAGUCCUAAAUUAAAAAAUGUGCAUGUCUUCCUGCACAAAUUUAUGUAAAUCGAAUAUUAAAUCAAAUCAGUAUGAUUUGAAAAGGCAAAUCGAAAUGGAUUGCUUUGAUUUAUGAAUGAAUAAAAUUCGAUACAAUAUGAAUUAGGUUGUUUCGAUUUAGCUUAGUCACCUAGUAAAUCGAAUAAGCUUGAUUCGAUUUAUUACUAAUACAACUUAUUGACAUUUACACUUUUAAGUUAAUUGUAUUAAUUUUAAAACAUAAAUAUCGAUAGAAAAUAUUUCAUUUAGAUUCAAAUAAAAUAUUAAAAAAUCAAAACAAAAAAAAAUAAAAAUUAAAAUUUUAUAUUUUAGUUCAAAUUUCAGAAAAUUUAUAUUUUUUUAAACUUAUAAAUUCAAAACGAAACAAUAAACGAUUUUUAAAAUUUUGUUAANNNNNNNNNNNNNNNNNNNNNNNNNNNNNNNNNNNNNNNNNNNNNNNNNNNNNNNNNNNNNNNNNNNNNNNNNNNNNNNNNNNNNNNNNNNNNNNNNNNNNNNNNNNNNNNNNNNNNNNNNNNNNNNNNNNNNNNNNNAUCGAAAUUUUUAAUAUUAAAAAAUUAUUAAAAAGUAUAACCUCCAAAAUAGUACAUGAGAUAAGAUUUGAAUUUUUUUGGAGUUAGAAUUAACAACAUAUAGAUAUAGUGACACUAUAAAGUGACCCACUCACUAUAUUCACUCGUUAAUUCGCUCUCAAUUCGAAUUUCUUUCACAUUCUCACUCUCACGAUCUGAAACUGAAAGGCUGAACCCUAGGCCCUACUUCCAAACGAGACGUGUCUUCAAAGGCUACAACUACUUUCUUCACCACACAACACAAAUUAUUCGGACAAGGUAAGUCUUAUAUCCUUGCUGCUUUUUUCCCCUCUUAAUAUUUCACCCCAUUUCAUUAUGGGUCCAUCUAGUGUACAGAUGUAUUUUGGUACAGAUUUAUAGAUUUUUGUUUUUAUUUGAUUGUUUAUUGAUUUAAAAACGUAUCAUUAAAAGUGUUGCUUAAAAAAAAGUGUUACCCUUAAUUGUUAACUUGGCUCUGAUACCAAUUUUUAAAGUCGACUUUUCUUUUAAUUUCUUUUUCGAGAUUUCUAUUAACUCUUCAUAUUUUACUUUGAAUAAGUUUAUAGUUUGUAUGGAUUCGAUUGGUGAUGCAAAUUCAUAAUCAAAAGUGUUGACCAUUUCUACUAUUACUAGGUAUUUAUAAUUCUGAUUUCAAUUUUAUAUUUUUUCAAUCUUGUUUUAGUUUAUAAUAUUCUUUUUUGCAUGGAUUAUUGUAUAUAAAAUCUUUUAUUUGUUUGUCUUUUUCUUUAAUAUAAUUUUUCAAAUCUUCAAAAACUUCUUUUAUUUCUACACUUUCUGUUGUUUCUAAAUAUCUUUUUAGUUUUUCAACUUCAUUCUCCAUUUUUUCUUUUAACAGUUUUAAUUCUUUUAAGUCAUAAUAUGGUUUUCCAGGCAUUUAUAAAUUUUUUAAGUUUAACUCCAACUUGUUUAUAUUUAUUCUUAUUUCUAUCCUUUUUAUUAUAAGGUCAUCAAUUUCGAUUUGAAGAUUAUUUAAUUCCCUUUUAUACUCCUUUAUUUUACUUUUUAAUUUUUUCGCUCUGGUCUUUCAAUUCUUUAUUUAUUGUCAUAAUUGGGUUUCAUGGGUUUCAUUUAAUUUUUCGACCUUUUUUGUUAAUUCUUUUAUUUCAGAAUUUUCUUCUUUAAUCUUUAACUUAGAUAAACUUAAAGGGAUAUUAAUUUUAGAUUCUCUUAUUUGAAAAAUCGAUGAAACUAAUUUUCCUGAUGGUUCUUUUAAUAAUAGAACUGGGUUUUCAAUAGCUUUAUAUUUUGGAAUUUCUGUUUUUACAAUUUUCUGAAAUAAUUCAUCAACAUAAAUUCUUUCUUUGUUUUUAAAUAUUAUACUAUGAUGACUAUUUGUUAAAGCAUAAUUUAUUGCAUAUGUAAUUGAAAAUGGUUCAUCGUCUUGUUCCAUUAGAUUCUUUCUAUGGAAUUUAUAAGCCAAACUUAUAGAUCUUCCAAGAUUUUCAGUUGAUAAAGGUAUAGCAUAUCCAAGAUGGGCAUUAAAUUUAACAUUUACGUUUGCCAAGUUUUCAUGGACAAUUCCAAUUAUUUGAUCUAUUGGGUCAUCAGUAAUUCUUUUAUCACAGAUUGCUAAGCUUAUUGGUGAAUUAAUUCCUUUCAUAUAUGUAGAUUUGAUUAAGACUUGUAUAGUACUAAUAUGAAUCCAUCCAAUUUUAGAUCUUUUUUGUUGAUCCUUAAUUUUCUCAAUCUAUUUAUUCAAUUCUUCACAUUUAUCAAAGCUAUUUCAAGUUCUCCAUUGGCGGAUUUUAUCUUUAUAGGGGUUUCUAGUUGAAUUUUUCCAUAGUAUAUUAUAUUUUUUCUAUUAAAAACUUCUUUUAAAAGAUUUUGUUUAUUAAAAUUUUCAUUUGAUUUGAGAUUUAAUUCUGUUUUUAGAACAGCCUGUUUUUCAUUAUCUAAUAAAGCAGUUAAUCUAUAAUAAUCAGAUUCUUCUGUUAAUUCUAAACUUUCUAAAUAAUUCAUAAUUGAAAGACUAGAAUGAAGAUGUACCUUUCUGGAGAAAAACUUCCUUUAUUUAGUAUAUUUUACAUAAGGUGUUUUUAUCUUCAGAGGGGAGAUUGUAGAUACUAACUCCAGAGGGGAGUUUAGAAUUAUUUUUUCCUAAGGGUCUCAUCUCUCUUUCUUCAAUUUCAUUUCUUUUACUGGACACAAGCAGAGUAUUUCUACUUUUAUAAUUAAUCCUUGUGUGAGAUUCCUUCGUUAUUUUUUGAGUUCUUUCAAAGACCCUUGCUAAUGUGCUGGCUAGCCUUCCUUCAUAACUGUAAAUUGUUAAAUCUUGAAUCUGAUCAAUUGGUUAAAAAUUUCCUGGGAAGACGGACAUGAAUAUUACUUGGUGUGUUGGAACCAAGCAUUCUUCUUCUUCAUUAAAAAUAGGUUGACUGUUUGUAAAUUUUAGGGAUAUAUCCCUUGGAUUUACAUUGUCAAUCAUAUUUUUAAAUCUCUUUACUGCAUCAGCGAAUCCUGCAGGAAACUCACUAAUAAUUUUUAGAUCAUUAAAAAUUAAAAUUGUAUCAAUUAAUCCAUGAUGGUUUCAGUGGCUAAGAGAAGGGGGGGGGGUUGAAUCUUAGCCCCCUUUUUGCUUGCUAAUACUUGCUUGGAUCAAGCUUCAAGUAACAAUGUUAUUCAACAUAUUUUAUUUUGAAAUGUUGAAUGCUUGAUUUAUGAGCAGAAUGUGAUGAUAAUCAAAACUCAUUUGUUAUCAAUAAAUUGAUUAUCUGCUCAAACUUACAUAUAUCAACAGAACACAAAACAGUGUUGUUUCAGAAAAUUUCAAAAUAUUUUCCAGUCAAAAUAUCAGAGCAAUGUCAUUCAAAUAAGGAAAAUAUUUUUGAUACACAUAUGCACAUAUCAAAGCAUGGCAGAUGUUAAAUAACACAGCUUAAAGGAACUGCCAAAUAUAAAUUUUCAAAUCAACAGAUUUAUCAAAGAUGAACCAUCAGUCAGGCAUCACAAUAUAUCAAACAUUAUUAUAGACCAAAUGCCAAAUGUAGUUCAUACAGCAGGGAUCAUAAUAGAACAAAUGCAUUCUUUGAACAAGGAUAAUCAUGAAUUUUCAAUUUGAAAAUUUCAACCCUUGUUCCCUGUUUUUUUUUUUUUCAACCCCUGUUUCAUUCCAAUUUCAAUUUUGGAAUUUAAAUUUCCUCCCCCUUUUGGCAUCAAGGGGCAUACAAGACCUGCAACAAGAGACAUGAGCAAUACAUAACAUUUAUAACAAAGCAGUAAUUGUUCAGAGUAUCAUACGGCAGAGAGUAUCAAGUCAUGCCUUUACAAAAAAAACAAAAGAAGGAUUGAGCCUAUUGUUGCCAAUAUCAAAUAAAAGUAGAGGAAUAGUCACUAAUUAUCAGAAACAUUGAACUCAGAACCAGAAUCAUCUUCAGAAUCUCCUGUUCCCAUUUCAUCAUCAAAGGUUUGAAUCAUGAAACCGACCCUUUCAUAGCACUUCUUCCAGGCUUUCUCAUUUGCAAAUGCCAAUUUCCGGGCAGCCUUGCUUGACUUUAGCAUCAAUUUGGACAUAUUGCGGAAUUCGCUGAGAGCCUCCCUGAUGGAUGCCGUGACCUUUGAGGGUUCAGGGUGGCUGAGAUGAUGGGAGGUUAAUGACCAUAAUGGCGCGGUUAUUAUCCAAAUGGGAGUUUCAAAAAGUGAUAAAGAGGGAGUUUUUCCUUGAAUCAAGGGAUUUAGUUGGAAGGAAAAGAUAUGAUUUGACAACAUGUAUCUUCCAACUAGAUUUGAAAAGACAAUCUAAGAGAUUUUGUGAUUUUAUUUUUCAAGGAAGGAAUAACUAACUAAACUGCCAUGGUGGGGUCAGAAUUUAUUAGGUGGGACCCAGGAGAAUUUAAAUCUGUGUUGCCUCCCCCUGAACAGAGCUCCUCUAUCAAGCUUGCAUUUUUAUCUCGUCCAAACCUACGAGACAAAACUGAACAGAGUUAAAAAUUCACAAAUUUUCAAUGAGACUUAAAUCAAACAUUCCCAAACUUUUUCUUAAGGUACAGAAUCUGUCUUCACNNNNNNNNNNNNNNNNNNNNNNNNNNNNNNNNNNNNNNNNNNNNNNNNNNNNNNNNNNNNNNNNNNNNNNNNNNNNNNNNNNNNNNNNNNNNNNNNNNNNNNNNNNNNNNNNNNNNNNNNNNNNNNNNNNNNNNNNNNNNNNNNNNNNNNNNNNNNNNNNNNNNNNNNNNNNNNNNNNNNNNNNNNNNNNNNNNNNNNNNNNNNNNNNNNNNNNNNNNNNNNNNNNNNNNNNNNNNNNNNNNNNNNNNNNNNNNNNNNNNNNNNNNNNNNNNNNNNNNNNNNNNNNNNNNNNNNNNNNNNNNNNNNNNNNNNNNNNNNNNNNNNNNNNNNNNNNNNNNNNNNNNNNNNNNNNNNNNNNNNNNNNNNNNNNNNNNNNNNNNNNNNNNNNNNNNNNNNNNNNNNNNNNNNNNNNNNNNNNNNNNNNNNNNNNNNNNNNNNNNNNNNGGGGGUUGAGCCACAUACACUUCUCUAUCAAUAAAGCCAUUAAGGAAAGCACACUUAACAUCCAUUUGAAACAUUUUGAAACCUUUAUGGGCGGCAUAGGCAAGAAGCAAUCUAAUUGCUUCCAUUCUAGCUACCGGAGCAAAAGACUCAUCAAAAUCUAUACCCUCUUCUUGAUCGUAACCUUGGGCCACUAAUCUAGCCUUGUUACGAACAACUUGUCCAUCCUCACCAAGUUUAUUUUUAAAUACCCACUUAGUACCGGUAACUUUCUUACCAUCCGGAUGAGGUACUAGUGUCCAAACCUCAUUCUUGUCAAAUUGAGCAAGCUCUUCUUGCAUUGCUUUAACCCAAGAUGGAUCCUCAAGAGCUUCUUUGACAUUGUUGGGCUCUAUUUGUGACAAGAGAGCAAGAUUGCUAGGUUCGGCUUGCCUUUUGGUGGAUGAUCUUGUUAUUACACCAUGAGAGGGAUCACCAAUGAUGAAAUCAUGAGGAUAACCCCUCAUAGAUUUCCAUUCUCUAGGCUUUCGGAUGGGUGUAGUACUUUGAUGAUCUUCUGGUGGUCUCACUGUUUCAGUUGCUCGUGCCUGUUCAGGAGACAAAAUGGAAAUGUCUCCUCCAAUCUGACGAGAUAAAAUCGGGCUGACAGAUUCUUCAUUUUGUUUAAAACAGUCCACAUAUGCAAGAACACAAUGGUUACUUUCACAGCUCCUAACUUGGGCUCUUAACUGCUUAUUUUCUUCAACAAGAUCACAGGCAGUUUCGGCCUCUCUUACUUUUUCUUUUAGAAAACUGUUUUCGGCCUUAAGAAUGGUAAUUUGCUGUUCAAGUUCUUGAUUUUCCAGCAGAAAACAUCUUAUUUUUUCAAAAAGGUGGUCUAUCAUAAGAUGGAGAUCUUCAGUGUUAGGGUUAUGAAAGACUACCUGAUCUAUGUGGUCUGCCAUGAGACAUGUUUGUGACUUGGUCUCGGUUUCUUCAUCAUCAUCAUCAGAAUCAUUCUCCAAGUCUUCCCAUGUGGCCAUCAGUCCUUUCUUCUUUCCUCUUUUUGGCUUUUCCUCCUUCUUCAGCUUGGGACAAUCAGAUUUGAAAUGCCCUAUUUCCUUGCAAUUGUAGCAAGUUACCUUGCUGAGGUCUUUCUUCACUUUCCUUGUGCUGCUGCCUUUGCCUCUGAGCUUAGCCAUUUUCCUGAAUUUUUUUGCAAAUAAAACAAACUCAUUUUCAGAAGAGUUAUCACUGGAUUCAUCAUCCAGGGGGUUAGUCACAGAAGAAAAUGCAAUUCUUUUCUUUUUUGUAUCUUUUUUCAAAUAGGUAUUUUCAAAAGCAAGAAGAUUUCCUCUCAAAUCAUCAAGUGUUAUGGAGUCUAGGCUACUACUCUCAGAAAUAAUUAAAGCUUUAGUCUCCCACUCUUUUGUGAGACAUCUCAACACUCUUCUCACUAGCACAGAAUCAGAAUGUGUAAUUCCCAGAGCAUCUAAGCCAACAAUGAUAGCAUUGAAACGUUCAAAGAGUUCAUCAAUGGACUCUCCUUCCUUCAUUGGAAACGUUUCAUAUUCUCUGUUUAACAUAUCUGCCCGAGUCUUCUUGACAAUGGUGGUUCCUUCAUGGGUGAUUUGCAAUUUGUCCCAGAUUUCCUUUGCCGUUGUGCAUCUUGAUACCCGUCGGUACUCCUCAAAGCUGAUAGCACAAUUGAGCAGAUUUAUUGCCUUGGCAUUUAACUCCACUUUCUUCCUAUCUUCCUCGGUCCAUCUUGCUUCUGGUUUGAGAGAAACAACUCCUUCUGCACUUGUGGUAGUUGGAUAUUUAGGCCCUUCGAGAAUAAUCUUCCAAAGUCUGUAGUCCACUGCUUGUAUGAAGAUUUUCAUCCUCUCCUUCCAAUAGGUAUAAUUUUUCCCAUUGAAAAGAGGGGGUCUGUUGCUUGAUUGUCCUUCAGUUAGAUUAUAAGACACCACGUUUGCGCCACUAUUUUCUGCCAUGAGGAUCUUUACUCCAAGCUGCAAAGCUUGAUCUCUUUGAGACCAAGCUCUGAUACCAAUGGGCUAGCACAAUAAAUUUGUUUUCGGCCCAAUAUUAAUCCUGCACAACAAAAAUUAUUUUAGUUAACACAUUAACCAAGAUUAGCUUAAUAAUUUUGCUGUUAAUAAUGUUUGAUCAUCAUCAAUUUAGUUUAGAGUUUUCCAAACUCAUCAAUCCAUACUGGAAAAACUGAUAGGUGUCAGAUGGGGAAGCAUCUGGAAAUAUAACCAGUUUUGUUAGCUGUUCUUUGGCAAUAGGAUAAUAUCCCAAAAUUGUCCUUUUUUCUUUAGUCCAAUUCAGGACUAUGUUAAGGGUUUCUCUGAGAUUAGAUCUACAGACCCUUUUCUUUUCCUUGAUUUCAGCCCUUGUAGGAAUGUUUCUUAUUAUUCCUGUUCUCUGGGUUUGAAUUGGAGCUUUAUCUGCUCUUUUUAGGGUUUGCUCUGGAUGGAGAGCUUUAUAUUCCCUGAAGGAUUCUUUUGCCUCUUCCAGUGUUAGAAACCCUCCUUUAUGAAUUAUCCUUGAUUGAUGUGUGAAUGGUGCUGCUUUUUCCCAGGCAUCAUAUACUCCUUUCAUGGGGUCAUUAUAAAUUACAUAAUAUUUUUUAUCUUGGGUGGAUUUUUUAAUGAUUUCAGCAAUUGUUUUAUUUUCUGAAAUUUUUUCUUCACCUGAUUUGUCCACCAUGCUUAUCUGGCUGAACUCUGAUGGUUUUGCUUGUUGUGUUGAUUUCAUUGCUUCAAUUGCCUUCUUGAGGGAUUGGAUCUGUGUCCUUAUUUGCUGACAAUGCUUGCAUUUUUCGAGUUCUUGCUCAUAUUUUUGAAUUUCUUGAUCUAAUGCGUUGUAGACGAACUCCAUUCUCUUGUUAAUGUAUCUGCAAUAACAUUUUUGUCACCCUUAAUAUAUUCAAUUUUUAUUGGAUAUUGUAACAAAAAUAAUUGCCAUCUUACCAAUCGUCCAUGAUUAUAAUCAAAUUUUAAAUUAUAUCGUAUGAAACCUGUUAGGUAACUUGAAUCUGUCCUUAAUGUAAAUUCUCUGGGUAGUAAAUCAAUUUUCCAUUUCUUAAGAGAUUUAAUUGCUGCUAGAGUUUUCUUUUCAUGAGUGGUAUAUCUCUGUUCUGUUGGAGUAAAAGUUCCUGAAAUAUACUUGCAAAGUAAUUCCUUUAAGGAAUACUUAGAAUCUAGUGAUUCUUUUUCUUGUUCCAAACUUUUUAUAGCUUUCUUAGCUUUUAGACAUCCUGACCAGGUUAUGUCUGAAGCAUCUGUUUCUACUAUUAAGUAGUCGUUUUCUUCUGGAAUAUAAAGUUCUGGAAGUUUUUUACAUAAUUCUUUAAUUCUUUGAAUUUGCAUACUAUCUUUUUCAUCCCAUUUCCACUCCUUUUUAGUACUUAUUUUUGGAAAUAAACUUUUAGUGUAUUCUGUUAUAUUCUUUAAAAAUCCUUGAUCAGAAAUAUAAUUUAUACACCCUAAAAAUCUUUGUAAUUAUUUUCUAUCUUCUAUUUUAUUAGGAAAUAAAUUUACCUUUUCUAAAAUAUUUGGUUGAAGUUUUAGCUUUCCUUGAGUAGAUAGAAUUAAUCCAAGAAACUCUAUUUCUUGUUUUGUUAUUCUUGCUUUCUUUUUGCUAAGAACUAAUCCUUUUUCUUUACAUCUUUCUAAAACUAUUAAUAAUUUUUGAAGAUGAUCUUCUUUAUCCUGUUUUGUAAAAAUUAGCAUAUCAUCAAUGUACACUAAAACAAAUUCAUUUAACUCUUUUAGAUUUUCUUCCAUAAAUCUUUGAUAAAUACCUGGGGCUUGUUUUAAUCCGAAUGGUAAUACAUUUCAUUCAUAGAGAAACACACUUGUUGAUUCUUUUGUUGGGCAAGUAAAAGCAGUUAAUUUCUUUGUUUCUUCGUCUAAACGAAGUUGCCAAUAUCCUGAUUUUGCAUCAAGAGAUGAAAACCAAGUUGCUCCUUUGAUUUUUUCUAAAAUAGAAUCUUUUCUUGGAAGUUUAUGAGCAUCACCAAUAGUUACUUCAUUCAUCUUCUUAUAGUUAAUAACCAUUCUUCGCUUUCCCCUUUUAAUUUCAUUAUUGUUUUCGACAUAAAAAGCUGGAGCCGCAUGAGGACUUUUACUUAAUCUUAUAAUUCCUUUUUCCAAAAGAUCUUUACAUUCUAAUGAGAACUCUUCUCUAUCUCUUGCGGAAUAAGGAAUUUUAUUUGGAACAUUUAUCUCUUUUGUAGAAUCUUUUAAUUUAAUGUUUACUAAUUCGUUAUUUGUAUUUUUAAUAUCUAAAGGAUUUUCAGCACAAAUUUCAUCCAAAAGUUCUCCUAUCUUUAUUUCAAGAUUAUUUUUUGGAAUAUUUAUCUGAAAGUAUAAAUUUAAAUAACAUGUUUCUAAUAUAGAAAAUAUUUUAAAUUUUAAGAUCUUAUCUAUAGUAGUAGUUGGUAUUUUUAUACAUUUUGAUUUUUGAUUUAUUGAAGAAUCGUGUGGAGCUUUUAAAACUAUAUAUGUUAAUUCUUGAAUGAAUGGAUGAUAUAGCUUUAAAAAGUUAUUGCCUAUAACAAAAUUCAUUCCAGAAUCUAACAUAUAUAUAGAUGGAACAAUGAACAUAUAAUUUUGAAUAAAAACUUCAGCCAUCUCUACUUUUUGGUCAAUUUUAUGUAUUGAUUUGUCAGCUAUUCUAACUCUUAAUGGUUUCUUUAAUUUUUUCCAAUCAAGUUUUAUAUUUGUACUAGCAAAGCAUUGUGUUGCUCCAGUAUCUAUGAAAGCAUUUAUGAACUUUUCUGAUAUUUUUAUGGUAAUAAAUGUGGCAUUAUUACUCAGUCUCUGAGUCUGUUUCCGAGACAUAUUCAAAAAUAUAGUCUAAGUUAUCAUCAGAUUCUUCUAAUAGUUCCAUGAAACAAGACUUAGCAAUUUCUAUUUGUUUGGUAAGAUCCUUUUUAUCCUUCUUUUUUGGACAUUCAUUUGCAUAGUGUCAUUCUUCUUGGCAAUACCAACACUUACAAUUUUCUUUUUUAUUUGGGCAAUAGUCAUUUUUUUGUCUUUUGUUUUUAUUGUUAUUUUUCUUUUUAAAAUACCUCUUUUUUCUCCAGUUUGGAUAGUAUUUUCUUUUUUCUAAAUUGAUAUUUUCUUUUUCUUUGAAAAUUUUUAUUAAGACCAUAUUUUUGAGGUAUCUCUUCAUUAUCCUGACAGCAAAUUCUAAUUAUAUUUGCAAAUCUUUUUUGAGUUGCUUCUUGCAUACAACGUUCUUUUAUUUCCUCUCUUAUUGCAGAGGUUGCUCCACCAAAAUUAUUUUCAAUUGUCCCUCUAUUUAUUUCUCUUAUAAAUCUUUCCAUUAUAAAUUCAUUAGCAGGAUAUGGAAGUUUUGUUAUAUACAUACUAAGAUAAUGAUUUUUAUCUUCUUCUUUUAAUUUGUAAUAAUGUAUUCUAUAUUCACAUAUAUAAGACUCCACAUUACAUAAAUCAUAUAUCUGAAUGUUAGCUAAAUGGUUUUUUGCUUCUUGAUAUUCUUUAUUAUAGACUUCUUGUUUAUGAUCUAUAAUAUUUUUUCCAAAAAAUUCUUUAUAUAUAAUCAUCAUUAUAUAUAAUAUCUUAUCAUAAGCUGUUGUUUUUAUUGCUAAUUCUUCUAUUAUUUGGUUUUCUAUUGAUGUCAUAUAAUCUCUUAUAGCUCCUUUAGUAUGAAACCCUAUGUAAUUCCAAAUGUCUCUUCCAGACAAUUUACUAAGUUUUGGAUUAGUAAAGGCUUCUAAUAAGAAGGAAUUCAACCAGUUUUCGAAAAUUUCUUUUUCAUUCUUUUUACGGUCUAAAUCGAGCAUUCUUUCUCCUUCCAUUUCCUGGAUUUUAGGAACGUAUUUUGAUGGUAUUUUUGUAUAUUUUGAAUCUUUAUUUAUAAACCCUUUUUAAAAGCAUAAUUAUCAAAACCUGUUUUCCAUUUAAAUUGAGAUUGACUAUCCUUAGAUGUUCCAGCUUCAUUUUUUACUUGUAUUGGAAUUCGUCACUUGAAUAAUCUAGGAUGUGUUCUUCAUUUUCUAUAUUUUCAGAAUUUACUAAUUCUUCUUCUAUUUGAAAUCCCUGUUCCAUAAUAUUAUUUUCUUGAGCCAUUUUUAAUUGUUUAAAAAGCAUUGUAACUUCUUCUAAUUUUUCUUCAAUAUUCAUAAUUUUAGUGGUGGUUUUACUUUUAAAUCUGUUAUGUUGAUUAUAUUUUGAAAUUUUUCUUCUUUGGGAAUCUCUUUUUCCUUAUUUCUUUGAAAUUUUAUGGAUACUAAUAUUUCUUCAAGCAUAUCUACUAUAGAAUUUAAUUGUGGGUUAAAAGUAUGAUAAAGAUGUGGGGAAUCAUUUCCAUGGUAACAUUUCUUAGAAAUUCUGUGUGAAAAAUAAGUUUUUUCAGGUUUUUGAAGUCCUUCAAUAAAACUUAUAGUAAAAUAAAGAUUUUGAGAAAAAUUAUUUUGUAUUGAUUUUAAGAAUUCGGUGUCAUUACAGUUAACAUUAGUUAAAAUCAUUAAUUUUUGAUCUAUUAAUUUUGAUAAUUUAAUUAUUUCUUCUCUUAAAUCUUCUAAUUUACUUUUUUCCAUUAGGUGACGCUUUUCUUUGUGAAGAGUUAUGGUUUAAAGUGAAAAAUGUGGCUUUUAAAAAGUGUGGUGUAAGCAAAUCUUUAAAUGACUUUUUGAUAUGUAUACUAAAAUUCACCUUUCAUUAUUAACAAUGAGCUUUUGGUUAUAGAUGAUGUAUAAUAAUAGUUCAGUGGGGUUAAAAGCGGAAAAAAAAUUGACUGUUUGGAAAAUAGCUGUGUGUUCUUUUGUGCUUAUAUGAGAUCAGCAAAUUGUGUUAUACAAAUUUCAAAAUUCAAAUGAUGAUUUCUUUCCUAUAGCAUAAUUCUGUUUCCAACACUAUAUCAUUUGUUGCUGUUUAUUUCUCGUGAAAUUCGUGAUGGAAAUUUACAUAGGUUGGGAUAGUUGAUGACAUUUUGGGUCAUGGUUCAUCGCCGCUGCAUGCUCGCCGCGUCCCCGCGCAUCUCGCCGGAUCCUCCGCGUUGUGUGCUCUCGUCUGGCCUCUCUCCUCCGUCUGAGCUCGGCUGCUCGCGCCUCUCUCGCCUCUCUCCCUCCUCGCGUCUCCGCUUGAGCUUUGUCGUCCCUCGCGUGAUUGUCGCUGGCGCUCUCCUAUCCCUCAUAUUUUUCUAGUUCUCCGCCUUGUAAACAUAAGGAGAAGGACUGCCACAUUGCCGCCAGCUUCUCCGUGUCACAUUCUUCUCUGCUCAUUGGAAGACUACCAAGGUUACUUAAUUUUUCUUGCUUACUUCUUUCGUUUUCAGUCUGUUGUUCAUAAAAAAAAAAUGUGAUUUGGUUAAUUUAGUUUUUAAUGUGUUCAAAAUGAUUUAGUUAAAAACAAUUAUAUGAUGCUAUGUAUGUAAUGUAAUUGACUAAUUGCUACGUUAUGAGUUUAUGAUGAGACAUGAAUUUGUUGCAUGGGAAACUUGUUAAUUUCUUAGUUAUCCUGCUCAUUGUUGAUUUUGUGUUUGUUUGCUCAUUUUGAAUUUGGAAAGAAAAUGUUUGGAAAUUAGUAUUUAGUUAUUUAAUUUUAGUUUGUGGUUAUCAUAUUAUGAUUUUGCUAAUAAAAAAUAAUAGGGAUGCACCUUAUUUCCAAUUUUAAUUUUGAGGGCCAUGAAAUUAUCAUUGUUAGAAUUGAUUGUUAAUUGCCUAAUUGAUUAAUGGUUAAUAGGCUCCGUUGCUACAGUGUGAUUGUUAAUUGCUUAAUUGGAAUUGAUUGCUAAUUACCUAAUUGAUUGUCACAAUUGUGUGAAAUUAAGAUAUUAUUGUAGUAUUGAACUAUUGACCAAUAAUAUGUCUAUUUUAUUUUAGAAAUUGAGACUUGAUUGUUGUUAAAGUGUUGAAGAUAUAUAUUUCAAAAUUUAAUUUUAAGUUUUUGACUAUUUUAUAUUGUUAUUUAAGUAGGACCAGGUUAGCCGAUUCAACCAAUAACCUACCAGUUGAACUAGUUACCCAGUAGUCUGAUUGGUUUGAUGAUCGCUUCGUUCUGAUAACUAUGCUUGGAGUUGUUUUUUCUUUUGUCACUGUUGAAUUUCAUCUCAAGACUCUUGUUGAUGAUUGUGUUGUGUGACUUUUAAUGAGUUAGGAAGUUGAACUUGUUAUUCUGUUAAUUAUAUGUUAGCACUUGAUCUAUAUUAUUAGUUGAAAAUAGCUUAGGACAUGUUCUUAUUGCAAUAGAUAUGAUCAAGACUUUAGAACAUCUUAUCUUUUUUUUUCCCCCUUAAUUAGUGUAAAAACUGAAAAACUGAACCGAACCAAACCAAUUCUCAUUGGUUUUGUUUGGUUUGAUUGACCUCAGAAAAAAAAAGUCGAACCAAACCACACCGAACAUUUUACAUAUAAUUGGUUCGGAUGACUUUUUUCCAAAAAACGGAAUCAAACUGCAAACUGAACACCCCUAUUCAAGAGCAUGCUUACAUCAGUUGAGCGACCAAUUGUGGUUACCACACUACAAGUAGCUAUAGAAUUUAUAUGUCAAUGCUUAGCAAUAAAUUUAUUGUUUUUCUUUCCCCUUAAAUCUCAAUGAAUAAGUAUCUAUAUGAACAUCAAAUGCUUGCAUAAUGUGCAAGCCAUUAUCACGUUCUUUUUAAGUUUGUCUGCUAGGUGUUUGAUAAAAUGCCUGAAUGAAAAGGGUUACUCUUUUUAGAGUCAUUAUUUGUUUCCAUUCGUUUUUAGUGUUAUUUUUCAGUUCCUCUAUUUUUCUUGGAAGUAAUGGAACUGUCUUCUGGAAUUCGGAAGCUGCUUUCCGGUGUCAAAACCAACAAAUCUACACCUUUUAACCUGAACUCAAUGCCUUAUCACUGCUAUCAAGAUGUUUCCAACCUGCAAUGCUAUCAGAGUGACUUUUCCAAGCUAGAAGAAUUGAUUCGGGUUCUGGCAAAUGUGGAUGCAAUUAAUGGAAAACUUGUUGACACAAUUAGUAAUUCAACCAUUUUUUAUGAGCAGAUUAAGCAUGAUAUGUGUACCUUCAAGUCUCUUGUCCGGGCCUUUAUUGGAUCUCCACCAGUUCAGCACAAAAUGAAACAGGUUCUGGUCUCCACCAUGGGAACACAAAAUGAACCAUUUUCUCCUUUCAGUCAAGCAAGAGAAAGAGAACCUAUAGUGAUUGAUAACCUUGCCAAAGUGAGCAACUUUCUUGAUGUUUCUACUCAACAAAGGAAGGUAGUUCGUCUCAAAGUGUGUCCACAGGCAACCCAGCACCGCAUAUUGACUGGUACACUCAAGGAAGUUCUGAAUAACUUUAAAGUUGAUUUGGAUGCUUUGGAUUCUCAGGGCUUAGACAAAGAUACUAUAAUGGGUCAGCAAAUUGUUCUUACCUGCCUGAAGUUUCUCACUGAAGCUGCUGUUUCCAAUGAACCUGAAUCCACUUCAUGGAUGAGGCUUUCACCUUCAAAAAAUGUGAACACCUCUGGUUCCCGGAAAUGGGAAGAUGUUCUUGAGAUGUUCAAUGAUCUGAUCGAGUAUUUUAGAGCCGAAACAAGAUUAAAGUUGCAUGUGGCUAAGGCUGAAGUCAUGAAAGAAGGGCUUUUGCAAAUCAAGGACAUUUUGAUUGACAACAGUAUUGGAUACAAGGAAGCUAGACACCAAGAACGCCUGGUGCAAAAGAAGCUUUCCAAAACAUUGGGACACUCAUCUGGCUGCUUAUUCACGCUAUUAUUAUAUUACCUCUUUGGAAGAGUCUCAGAUAUUGAAGUAGACAUGGCUGGGGGAGUUUACGAGAGUGGAAGCGACAACAAGAACCGGUU
rnacentral:lncRNA from 1 species